UACGGAGGGUGCGAGCGUUAAUCGGAAUUACUGGGCGUAAAGCGCGCGUAGGCGGUUGGCUAAGUCCGCUGUGAAAGCCCUGGGCUUAACCUGGGAACGGCAGUGGAUACUGGUUGGCUAGAGUGUGGUAGAGGAUGGCGGAAUUUCCGGUGUAGCAGUGAAAUGCGUAGAGAUCGGAAGGAACACCAGUGGCGAAGGCGGCCAUCUGGACCAACACUGACGCUGAGGUGCGAAAGCGUGGGGAGCAAACAGG
rnacentral:rRNA from 1 species